rnacentral:snRNA from 1 species
UCCAGCAGCAAAUAUAUUAAAGUUGGAACAAUACAGAGAAGAUUAACAUACUCUCUGAGCUAGGAUGAUAUGCAAAUCUGUGAAAUGUUUGAUUUUUAA